UACGUAGGGUGCGAGCGUUGCCCGGAAUUAUUGGGCGUAAAGAGCUCGUAGGCGGUGUGUCACGUCGUUCGUGAAAACCUGCAGCUUAACUGUGGGCGUGCGGUCGAUACGGGCAUCACUGGAGUUCGGCAGGGGAGACUGGAAUUCCUGGUGUAGCGGUGAAAUGCGCAGAUAUCAGGAGGAACACCGGUGGCGAAGGCGGGUCUCUGGGCCGAUACUGACGCUGAGGAGCGAAAGCGUGGGGAGCAAACAGG
rnacentral:rRNA from 1 species